UACCCCUGGCUUUUGACCACAAACAGGCUAUCUAUCAGGGCAAGAAGCCACCCAGCUGGAAGCUGGGGCAGAGUUUCUGUGAUUCACAAGAACCACCUGUCUCGCAGAGCUGAUGUCUGGUGACUAGAAGCCUCAGGUGUCUGCACUGGGAAAGUUUCUCAAACUGCAGGGGAGAUCAAAAGAGAUGCUUUAGGCCAAUGGUUUGUCAGAGUAUAAUAAUUAUCGUUGCCACUUGUAACACCAACUUCAAUGCCAUGAACACAAGAUAAAAGAAGUGAUAAGAUUACAAGGUAACCUGUGGUGGCCACACCCCAAUUAGUUAGCUAAUGUAAGUUCCCAUGGUCGCUUGUAGUUCCAUGGAGACCAUUCAUGACACAGAAACAAACUUUCUCAAAGUCUCACACGUGGUUUGCUUGCAUUUUUAUCCUGUGGUGUUCUAUCUCAAGCAGAGGUGGGGAACCUUCAAGCCCUAAACUAAAUCUGCCCAGUCUGGGUCUCAGUACUCCUCUGAGGCCCUGCCCUUCUCUGCCUAGUGGUCCAAGUGAUGACGAAAGAAGUGGGAAGAAGGUUAAUGCCGCCAAUGCCUGCCCUCUCCAUGCCUGGCUGGGCAGAGGUGACUGAGCGCCAGGUGCUUCUACGCACACCUUAAGCCUCCCCAAGAGAGGAGGUGGCAGUGGGGGGCAGGAGGAGGCAAUGAGGCUUGUGUGGGACAAGUGCUCCAUGCAGAAGCCCUAUUAUAAAGGACUGUCAGUGGUCAAGCAGGGAAUGUAGCAGCUGUGGCUGAAAGAAUUUAAACUGCUUUAAGUCCUCUGGGUACAGAAAAGAGUGUGUGGGGGACAUACUGAACAAAGGUAUAAAUCACAUCUGGAUCUGUCUGGUUCUGACUCUGCCCACAGUAGGAGCAUGGUUUUGCCCAAAGGGAUGUGGACUUUGACCAGAAAAAGGGCUUUCCAGCCUCAGUGAAAAUGCCUGUAGCACAACUGCAAUUUUAAUAUUUCUCUCUGACCCAAAUAGGCCAGCUCCUAUUUUCUUCCUAAACUCUUCAGCUCCUAAACUCUUCAGAUAGCAUCAGUGGCGCUUUAGAGAAAUGGAAUUCAUGGAAUUCAGAAUCCACCCGGGGUUCACAGAUAAGUGAUUCACAGAAGAGCAACCUCAGCCUACCCACUCUUUUCCCACUGUUGAUCAGCGAUCAGUUUGGCAGGGGACUGGGGUGAGGGAUUUUAACUCUCCGGGCUCUGCUAUUCACAGCACAGUAGCAGCAAUCUUCAUGGGAGCCACAUUUCUUCUGCAACAGGCUGAGAGGAGAUCCUUUUCAUGCUUUGCAAAAGAAAACUGCUACAGUCCAUUAACCAAUCGGCUUCAGGAGGAAAUAGAACAAUGCAGGCUCUUGCAAGAGAAAUGCGUAUGUAUCUGUGCAUAAAUUUAGGAGGCUGGAAUGCACUCAGGAACAGAAAGGAACAAGGAUCCUUGUUUCUAAGAGUAUCACCUGUGAAAGGUUAGACCAGAGAUGUGCACCUGCAAGGCCUCCAGAUGCCUUGGCCUACAAUCCCCAUUAUCUGUCACCAUUGGCUAUGCUUGCUUGGGUUGAUGGGAACUGUAUUUUUUAUUUAUC